UUUUGCGCUCUGUGGAUUUUCCUGUGUGGCUGCCGCAUCUGCGCACUAACAGCCUGGCUAAUACCCGCUCUGAUCUGGAGCGAGUUUCACCUGCACCAGCAAAAUGGACCAGAACCAACAAGACGCUCAAGUAAGUUAUUUUUCAAGGCUACUAGCUGCAGUUUAUUCCAUAAAAUUGUUUUGUUAUGCUACUUUUUACGACUCCUCACAUUUAAUAUUGCAACAGGGGCACAUAGCUAGGUGGAUUAGGGUCCUACAUGGAAUAAAAUGUCCGGUGUUUUAUCCAGGAACUGGGGAUUGAGUUAUGAGGGGCUAGAUAUGUGUCAGGGAAAGAUCCAAAAAUGUUUUCUAGUGCCGUAUUCCCCAGAGUUGGAUAAGUGAAUGAAAAAGGAUUGUUUUAACCAGCGCAGUAAUUCUUAUCUGCCAGCAGUCUGUCUGCUUUAGAUGAGAAUAAACCAUGUAACUUAAUGGGAGGUAGUAGCAUUUUGUGUGCAAAACUGUAAAAUUACUAAAUUAUGAUACCAGUUAUUCCUGUUGAGCUCAAUAAUCAUGUUGACUGCAAAUGAAAAGUAAGAAGUAACACAUUAGCAGGAGCCAAUUUAGACAGUAGACAAAUUUUCACUUAGGGUGGAAUAUCCCUUUAAAUCAAACUUCAAACAUGCACGUUAGCAAUAUACAGAAUAUUUUAAUUACAUUUCAUGUUAAUCAUUAUUGUUUACUUAACAAUGAUUGUUGGUCACUGAUUUAAAAAAAAUGUCUUUAAUAGGUUUCCUGUCCAUUGUGUGAUAAGAAUUUACUCAGGAGUCUAUACAACUGCAUGCCAGCUUUUCUGGUGAAGGAGGAAGAGGACAGGUGCAUGUUUUUACCCAUGCACGUUGUACACAAUAUGUUAUGAGAGUUUAAUCUUUUUUUUUGUUUGUUUCCACAUCUGAACAGCAUCAUACUGGAUGUGGAUGACUCUUCCAAGCACUUAAGCUGCUUAUCAGACAUCCUGAAGUUCCUACAAGAAAGAGUUGACAACACUAAAACCUUUAACAUUAAUGUGACAAGGGACGACCUUUACCAGAGAGGUCUGAAACAGCGGGCCAGACAGAAGCAGGCUUCCCCCAAAAACCAGCUAAGUGUUUCCUUUAUUGGAGAACACGACAUUGAUGAAGGAGCACUACGCCGAGAGUUCCUAACUGAAAUGAUGCGAGGCCUUGAGUUGAACUUAUUUGAAGGAGUUUCAUGCAAAGGCAAAACCCCAAAUAUAGUAUCUCUUACUACCAGGAAAACAGAUACAGGUAUGUACAGUAUGAUGCUGCUCUGCAGUGUAACUUGGCUUGUUUUGUGUUCAGGAUCUGUGGGGAGAUCAUUGCCACCAGCUUGGUUCAAGCAGGACCAGCACCGAAUUUCUUUUCUACUUGGUCUUACCAUUUCUUGCGUCAUGGACAAAUAACAAAUGAAGAUGUGCCAGAGGUGACUGAUACGGAAACCCAGAACCUGAUUCAGGAGGUCGAACGUGCCGAAGAAGACGCACUGACAGACCUUUCUGAUGCCAUUGUAGCAUGUGGCUACACUGGUCAAUUCACAGCAAUUGCAAAAGGGCCAUCAUUGAGGCCAUCAGUUUGCAUUCGGUGAUGAGACUCAUACCGAUGCUAAGUCAGCUUAGAGAAGGACUGGCCAUCUAGGGUUUGGAUGAGCUGUUGCCACAACACCACCAGGCACUUCAGCCCCUCUUUCUUCCUGGGAACCUUAAACAGUAUUUUUAAAAACGUCUUUUGUAGGUGGAUGCAGACUUCGUUGUGGAGGCACUGGCUCCUCAGUACAGUGACAAUGGAUGAGUAAGACACAAAGGAAGUGGACAUGAUCAACUUUUUGCAGGACCUCUUGCAAAACCUGGAAGAAGGAGGAACAGAUGACCAAGAUGGGAGCCCAUCAGAUGGCUGUGGAGCAAAGCAGUUGUCAGUGCAAGGAUUUUUUCAGUGGGUUUCAGGCCAGGCACAUGCGCCACCAACAGACACAGAAAGAGAAUUUUACAAGAUAACUGUAAAUGUUGAUCACGACGGUACCACCCGGUAUGGACCACACUUAAUCACCUUACCUACAUGGCACGUUACUACAUACACUGACUUUGAAAGUCAGCUUACUCAGGAAGUCUGUGAUAGAUUUGAUUUUAGCAGACAUUAAGUGAAAACAAGAUGGCCACUGUUCUGGGUUCAGGUUACUGUAUAAUGGUUCAUAUUUAACUUUGAUUCCAAAAAGACAAAUGGUUUUGUUAAAUAAUGUAAUGUUUUGGAGCUAGAAAGCGACAUUGUUACAUGAAUCCAUAAAGUUAGGCCAUUUAUUG